GCUAAAUACUCUCAAGUCUAGAUGGCAGAAUCUACCACCUGAUUGGAAGGGUUUGGAUCCAUGCGGAAGUAAUUGGGAAGGGAUCAAGUGUACCAACUCACGCGUAACCACCUUGGAAAUGGCAAGCAUGGGUGUUAAAACUACUGACAUUGGAGAGAUUACAUCACUUUCCAUGUUGCAACACCUAGAACUUUCAUUCAACAAAGGGAUUAAAGCCGUUCUUCCACCAUCUAUUCAGAAUUUGAAGAGCUUAACGACGUU